GGACAGGUGAAUCAUCGAAUCUUUGAACGCACAUUGCGCUCCCUGGUAUUCCGGGGAGCAUGCCUGUUCGAGCGUCAUUACACCACUCAAGCACUGCUUGGUAUUAGGCCAUCGUCCCCCGCAAGGUGGGCGUGCCUCAAACACCUCGGCGGAGCCUCACCGGCUUUGGGCGUAGUAGAAUUUCUCAACGUCUUAUAAGUACCGGUCUGACUCUUUUGCCGCUAAACACCAAACUUUUAAAGGUUGACCUCGGAUCAGGUAGGGAUACCCGCUGAACUUAAGCAUAUCAAUAAGCGGAGG
rnacentral:misc_RNA from 1 species